GACCUGAAGGCAGAGGACGAACAGGAAGGAGGGGAGUCCCGGGUGCCUAGACGGGCCCCCAACUCUCGGGUUGCGCCAAACCCGCGUUGCUCCAGGUCCCCGCCCCCAGGCUGAGAUGCCCCAGGGAUCCCACCCUGGCCUUUCCACUUGGUUCCCGGCGCCCUGCGGGACAGCUUGUCAUGCAUUCAUUCAUUUAGUGCUUGCUGUGUGCCAGCCACGGUUCUAGGGACUACGAUCCAACCUAUCAGCCAGGCCUGUCAGCUCUUCUGUUUGGACCCUGAAUUCCUCCACAUUCCCCCAUGCUCACCCCCCACCAUGAUCCCAGCUCAAGACACCAUCUGGAUUUCCCCCCAGGCCUCCAGUUGUCUGCCAUCAGCCUCUGGUCUGUUUCUCCCACAGCUGCCAAAGAAUCAGGUCAUGUCUCUCCUUUUCCUAGAGAACCCUUUGUGGCUCCCAGCUCACUCAGAGCAAAAGUCCAAGUCUUCCUGCGCCCCCACAAGGCCCUGCACCCUCUUCCUGUCCCCUCCCUGCCGUCCUCUCCCACUCACCCCUCACUCACGGUGUUCGAGGCACACUGGCCUCCUAGUUGCUCCUCAAACACACCAGGCACAGUCCUGCCUCAGGGCCUUUGUACUUGCCCUUUCCUCGGUCUGGAACAUUCUUCCCGGAAUUUUAACAUGGCCUCCUCUCUCUCCUUACUCAGGUCUUAGCUCAGAUGUCCCCUCCUCAGAAGCCCUCCCUGACCACCCCCAUUUAGCGUUGCUCCUCCUGGGCACUCUCUGUCACGGUCCCACUUUGUCAUUUUAGCAUUUGUCUCUCUCUGGAAUUGCCUCGUUUGUUUGCCGGUGUUUAUUAUCUGAAUUCCUCCACCAAAAUAUCCACUCGCAGAGGCUGAGCCUGGGUUUUGUUCAGCGCACGCCCCUCAACACUCACAUGCCCCAGCUCUGUCGUACCCUCCCAAGUGUUGCCCUGCUCACACAGGUGAGCUCCUGUGCAUGUACUGUGGCCAUCUCCCUUGUCUUCUCUCUCGGGGUUCAGCCGCUUGCAGCCUCUCAGAUGAGGACACACAGGCCUCUCACACGCACUUGCCAGUACUCAGAACACAUCUCCCACGUCCACACGUCACCCUGGUCUGCCCCAAGUUCCACUGUGUCCAAACCCACAUGUCCGGGUGGCCACACGCACGGGCAGGUGCCUCGAGGUCUUCAAGGUCACACACAUCACCUUGUUCACACAUUCAGCAGACGCUCCUUUCGCGCCUAUUGUGUGCCAAGAGCUGGUCCAGGCAGCUGACCGCCCAGGACCAACACAGACAAAUCCCUGCCCCCAGGCAGCUGACGUCCUGGAUGGGAAGACAGAUGGUGGACCGCAGACACGCGAGCAGGGGAGGUGCAGAGAGAGAGGG